rnacentral:lncRNA from 10 species
GGGAAAACAUUCUGUGAUUUCUAACAUAUUUACAUUAAAAUCACAGCUAUUUGAAAUUCGAAGUCCACUUCUGAACACCCUUGGAUCUGGGAGCAAAUUGGCACUGCAUGUGUGCCUGGGCUCCUGAAGGGCCUCACAUACAUUAUUUUAUAAUGUCAUAUGGGAUUGCUGGGUCAAAUAGUAUUUCUGGUUCUAGAUCCUUGAGGAAUCACCACACUGUCUUCCACAAUGGUUGAACUUAUACUCCCACCAACAGUGUAAAAGCAUUCCUAUUUCUCCAUGUCCUCUCCAGCAUCUGUUGUUUCCUGACUUUUUAAUGAUAGCCAUUCUAACUGGUGUGAGAUGAUAUCUCAUUGUGGUUUUUAUUUGCAUUUCUCUAAUGACCAGAGAUGAGCUUUUUUUCAUGUUUGUUGGCUGCAUAAAUUUCUUCUUUUGAGAAGUGUCUGUUCAUAUCCUUUACCCACUUUUUGAUGGGGUUGUUUUUUUCUUGUAAAUUUGUUUAAGUUCUUUGUAGAUUCUGGAUGUUAGCCCUUUGUCAGAUGGAUAGAUUGCAAAAAUUUUCUCCCAUUCUGUAGGUUGCC